rnacentral:misc_RNA from 1 species
UGGCUUCGGGUGUCGCAGCC